UCUUUCUCCAACUACUCUGUGUAAAUGUUAAUUUCUUCAGUUCGUGAAUUUAUUUCCUAGACAAGUCAGGCUUUGUCACGAAAAUUUUAUUUCCUAAUGUUUGCCUGUCACGAUAUUUAAAUGGCUAGUAAUUAAUUUGUAUAACAUGCUGUUACAAGUAAGCAGUAGUUACUUAGCAAUGAGUAGUCUAUUUCUGCUCCAUUGGCUAACAGUUAUCGAUAUAAUUGAAGCGAGAUCGAAUAACGCGUUUAAUAACACGGUGAAAUUGAUCCGUAACGCACUCAGUGGCAGAGAUCUUUUAAAUUAGUAGAAAAAUCAACGAUAUGAUAAGCACUGGCUUAGUGGAAUUGUAAUAAAUAUUCGGAGACAGUGUGAGAUACAAGGAAAAGAAAAUAAUUCACGCGAUACGUUAAUUUUACGAAUGGCGGCGAUUUAACGGCAGUCAAAUUCUUCAACAUCGUCACUGUAGGGCUGUAAAGUAAUGUUACGCAGGAACAGGCGGCAUCGAAAAGGAUGCACUUAUAGGUGCAGUCCGAGAAUGACGUCAACCUAUUGCCUUUCUAUAAAUAUCGAGUUUCCAAAAGAAGUUCGUUGCCCACGCUUGCAACGCGAACAACAAGGAACCCAAAGAAAAAUUGCCAGCUCUCGUAUAUUAUGCCAGCAGUUUAAUAUAGAGAAGUUUCCAACACGAUUUGGCGAUACUUCGAAGCAAAGAAAGUUAGUAUUACGUGCAAUAUAUAUUCAUUGAUAUACACUAUAUUCAUAUCAAUAACGUGAAUCAUUCUACUUAAGAAUAUUUACAUAAAUCUUUGGUCCAAUUCCAUCAAGUUGUCAAAUAUUCGAUCACUCGUUCUAUUAGGUUGGCAACUAAGUGAUUGCGUAUCUUGUCAUUAAGUGGUAAUGACAAAAUCCGCAAUCACUUAAU